rnacentral:rRNA from 1 species
CACGUAGGGUGCGAGCGUUGUCCGGAAUUAUUGGGCGUAAAGAGCUCGUAGGCGGUGUGUCGCGUCGGCCGUGAAAACCUGCAGCUUAACUGUGGGCUUGCGGUCGAUACGGGCAUCACUGGAGUUCGGCAGGGGAGACUGGAAUUCCUGGGUGUAGCGGUGAAAUGCGCAGAUAUCAGGAGGAACACCAACGGGCGAAGGCAGUUCGCUGGGACGGUACU